UGGCUAACUAGAAUAAACAGUGUAGAGA
rnacentral:piRNA from 1 species